AGGAAUAUUGGUCAAUGGGCGGAAGCCUGAACCAGCCAUGCCGCGUGCAGUACGAAGGCCCUACGGGUCGUAAACUGCUUUUGUACGGGAACAACCGCAGUUACGUGUAACUGUCUGAGUGUACCGUAAGAAUAAGGAUCGGCUAACUCCGUGCCAGCAGCCGCGGUAAUACGGAGGAUCCGAGCGUUAUCCGGAUUUAUUGGGUUUAAAGGGUGCGUAGGCGGGCUUUUAAGUCAGCGGUAAAAAUUCGGGGCUCAACCCCGUCCGGCCGUUGAAACUGGGGGCCUUGAGUGGGCGAGAAGAAGGCGGAAUGCGUGGUGUAGCGGUGAAAUGCAUAGAUAUCACGCAGAACCCCGAUUGCGAAGGCAGCCUUCCGGCGCCCUACUGACGCUGAGGCACGAAAGUGCGGGGAUCGAACAGG
rnacentral:rRNA from 1 species